UCGAGCGAACUUAACUAAAUGAAUGCGGUGCUUGCACCAAGUGAUUUUACAGCGGUGAGCGGCGGAUGGGUGAGUAACACGUGGGUAACCUGCCUCUAAGCAGGGGAUAACAUUUGGAAACAGAUGCUAAUACCGUAUAAAUCCUAAAACCACAUGGUUUUAGGCUGAAAGGCGGCUUCGGCUGUCACUUAGAGAUGGACCCGCGGCGUAUUAGCUAGUUGGUGAGGUAAUGGCUCACUAAGGCAAUGAUACGUAGCCGAACUGAGAGGUUGAUCGGCCACAUUGGGACUGAGACACGGCCCAAACUCCUACGGGAGGCAGCAGUAGGGAAUCUUCCACAAUGGACGCAAGUCUGAUGGAGCAACGCCGCGUGAGUGAAGAAGGCUUUCGGGUCGUAAAACUCUGUUGUUGAAGAAGAACACGUUUGAGAGUAACUGUUCAGACGUUGACGGUAUUCAACCAGAAAGCCACGGCUAACUACGUGCCAGCAGCCGCGGUAAUACGUAGGUGGCAAGCGUUAUCCGGAUUUAUUGGGCGUAAAGCGAGCGCAGGCGGUUUUUUAAGUCUGAUGUGAGAGCCCUCGGCUUAACCGAGGAAGUGCAUCGGAAACUGGGAAACUUGAAUGCUGAAGAGGACAGUGGAACUCCAUGUGUAGCGGUGAAAUGCGUAGAUAUAUGGAAGAACACCAGUGGCGAAGGCGGCUGUCUGGUCAGUUAUUGACGCUGAGGCUCGAAAGCAUGGGUAGCGAACAGGAUUAGAUACCCUGGUAGUCCAUGCCGUAAACGAUGAAUACUAGGUGUUGGAGGGUUUCCGCCCUUCAGUGCCGCAGCUAACGCAUUAAGUAUUCCGCCU
rnacentral:rRNA from 1 species